rnacentral:rRNA from 1 species
CAGUCGCCGCGGUAAUACCGAGGGUGCGAGCGUUAAUCGGAUUUACUGGGCGUAAAGCGUGCGUAGGCGGCUUUUUAAGUCGGAUGUGAAAUCCCUGAGCUUAACUUAGGAAUUGCAUUCGAUACUGGGAAGCUAGAGUAUGGGAGAGGAUGGUAGAAUUCCAGGUGUAGCGGUGAAAUGCGUAGAGAUCUGGAGGAAUACCGAUGGCGAAGGCAGCCAUCUGGCCUAAUACUGACGCUGAGGUACGAAAGCAUCGGGAGCAAACAGGAUUAGAUACCCCAGUAGUCCCUGUCUCUUAUAC